rnacentral:lncRNA from 1 species
UCUAUCUAGCCUUAUAGUAUGAAUAAUUUUAACUUUAGGGGCUAUAGCGUGUUAGACCCAUUUCCCACUAGCAUACUUGACCACAUGGAGAUCACAUAAAUACGGAAUAAGCAAUCAGUAGUAAAAAAAAUUCAAACUCGUACAUUACACUUCGGUUUCGACAAAACCGUAGCGUAUCAGCCUAACUGUCUCGGUUCUCACAGACCCGCUGCCUAAAGUACAUACUGCUUUCGUUCAAACAAGGACCCGAGUCAUAUGAUGUAUUUCAUUUUAUUCCGGAAAUUCUAAUAUGAAAAUCUGAUUUCAGUAAUUCUAUUUCAAAAAUUUUCUUUUAGAAAUUUCAGAAAGUUUCUGAAAUAUGGUAAAGUAGUCAUUUUGAAAACUAUGGUGGGGUGUGCAAAAAGGUUGUAGGGUGUAGAAAUAAAAGUCUUUUAUUUGGUUAAGUAAACAAUAUUAUUUCAUAUUGGGUAUUGAACUAAAAGCCUAAUACGCGAAUGGGGUUGCUUUCUCCACCUCCCCGUUUCCUCCUUCCACCUCCCCAAUUUCUUCAUUUUUUUUAAUUACAAAAAUAACCUUUUUCUUUUCCUUUUGUAACUUUUUUAAUUUUUUUUUUACUUUUUUACUUUUAAUGUUAUUUAGCAUAGUAACCUUUAACCCUAAGCUUUUACUCUUUUUUUCUCAUUGUUACUCUCUGCUCAUAGUCCCACCCCUACCCCCCUUAAGCUUUUGAGAUCCGCCUCUUCUUCUCCCACCUCCGUCACACUCUUUUUUUCUCUGGCUGUCUUCUUCCAAAAUCUACCUUUGCUCUCCGUGGUGGUGCAAUGCGAUGGUGCGGUGCGGUGGUGUUUCAGUAGUAGAAUAGUGGUUCUUAUUGGAGGUGCAUGGUACAGAUUGGGGCAUUCGUCUACCAGGUUCUUCGAUUUUUAGUCUUUAAUAUUCAUGCAUAGAUCUUUGAUUUAUUGAAUGUGUGCAUUGUUUG